GUGGUCCAGCCCAGCAUCCUGGAGGUGAUGGCCGCAGUGGAGGCAAGGCUGCCAACCAGCACGAUGAUAAAGCAGUUGAAGCUCAGCGGUCCAAUGAGUUGUUCAAGACCCCAGCCAGUAAGUGUAGGGAUUUGAACCUUGGACCCGUUGGGCUGCAGAUCCUGGGCUCAUCUCCCCUAGGCUGUCUUUUCCUGGUGUUCUUAGGGUGCGGGCCAAAGGAUGAAUGGGGCGAUUCCUUGUCCCACCCUAAGUCGGGCAACACUUCCUGGUUCCCAUACCCCAUAGCUCCCACCAAGAAGGUUACCUGAGUUACUAUCAGGAUGGAAACAGGAAGAAGGCAGGGUUUGGAGCUGGACAGAGUGGGGUUUGAAAGCAGCCUUGGCCACUUGCCAGCCAUGU
rnacentral:lncRNA from 1 species